rnacentral:rRNA from 1 species
UGAGUAACGCGUGGGUAAUCUACCUUUAAGCCUGGGAUAACUGACCGAAAGGUUAGCUAAUACCGGAUAAGCACACAGCACCGCUUAGGGUGCAGGGUGAAAAGAAUGCCUCUAUUUAUAAGCAUUCACUUUUAGAGGAGCCCGCGUCUCAUUAGCUAGUUGGUAGGGUAACGGCCUACCAAGGCAACGAUGGGUAACUGGUCUGAGAGGAUGAUCAGUCACACUGGAACUGAAACACGGUCCAGACUCC